rnacentral:rRNA from 1 species
UACGUAGGGGGCAAGCGUUGUCCGGAUUAUUGGGCGUAAAGCGCUCGCAGGCGGCUCGAUGCGUCGUGCGUGAAACACCCCGGCUCAACUGGGGAGGGUCGUGCGAUACGGGUCGGGCUGGAGGCCAGUAGGGGGAUGCGGAAUUCCGGGUGUAGUGGUGGAAUGCGUAGAGAUGCGGAGGAACACCGAUGGCGAAGGCAGCCCCCUGGGCUAACACUGACGCUCAGGCACGAAAGCGUGGGGAGCAAACAGG